rnacentral:rRNA from 1 species
UGGGGAAUAUUGCACAAUGGGCGCAAGCCUGAUGCAGCCAUGCCGCGUGUAUGAAGAAGGCCUUCGGGUUGUAAAGUACUUUCAGCGGGGAGGAAGGGAGUAAAGUUAAUACCUUUGCUCAUUGACGUUACCCGCAGAAGAAGCACCGGCUAACUCCGUGCCAGCAGCCGCGGUAAUACGGAGGGUGCAAGCGUUAAUCGGAAUUACUGGGCGUAAAGCGCACGCAGGCGGUUUGUUAAGUCAGAUGUGAAAUCCCCGGGCUCAACCUGGGAACUGCAUCUGAUACCGGCAAGCUUGAGUCUCGUAGAGGGGGGUAGAAUUCCAGGUGUAGCGGUGAAAUGCGUAGAGAUCUGGAGGAAUACCGGUGGCGAAGGCGGCCCCCUGGACGAAGACUGACGCUCAGGUGCGAAAGCGUGGGGAGCAAACAGG